CCUCCUUUUCUUGGCAGGCCCGGGCGAUGCGGUGCCCGGCUCUGUAAUGCUCCGGAGGCAGAGGAAGGGGAUCCCAUCCCCCCCGGUGUUCUGUCUUCGGUGCCAGCGGCUUCCCCAUCUGCUGGUUCUAUCCUCAAGCACCGGGACACGC
rnacentral:snoRNA from 1 species